AUCAUUUUCGACACUAUUUUAAUUAUUUUUAUUUUGCGAACUUAAUACGUCCAAGUUUGGGAUGAGAGCUAUUGUGGAAUAGAGGGUAACUUUCUUUGUUCAUUUUUGUUUUAUUUGAAAGAAGAAACAAUCGUUGUGUUAGCCACGAGGAAAAUGCAAAAAUGGCUAUGCAAUUAUUACCUAAAUUUGCGAAAUGGAAUAUACACUAAAAAUAGAGUAAUGUACAAGAUAAGUAGCGGAUGCAAUUAACAUAACUAGAUAUUGGUCCGACUUUUAUAUUUCAUAAAGUGUUUGAUGCCUCGCGGGCGUAAUAUAUCAAUGGAAAGGUUACAGGAGAAUAGUUAGAACAAAGCAAUGAUUAAAAUGAAUUAAAGGCAAAAGUAAGGAACUUGUGUUAAUCGAAGGAAAAGAAUUUUAUUUAAAGCUCACUGGCUUUUUUAACUACCUUCGUUGUAAAAGAAAGUUACAGGAUUAAUUUGAACCAAAAAUGCAAAUGUCAAUACAGGCUUUGUUAUUCGAUAUUGAAUAUUUUAUGCUCUAAGAUGCAAAUUACAAAAGGGUUAGAUAUCAGUCAGUAUAUAAUUUUAGUGAAAAUCUAAUGGCAUCAGUUUUCUGAUGAAUCUGUAUUUAAAAUUGCAAAAUGCU